UACGUAGGCAGCGAGCGUUGUUCGGAAUUACUGGGCGUAAAGAGUGUGUAGGCGGUGCUCUAAGUUCGGUGUGAAAUCUCCUGGCUCAACUGGGAGGGUGCGCCGGAAACUGGAGUGCUUGAGCGUGGGAGAGGAAAGCGGAAUUCCUGGUGUAGCGGUGAAAUGCGUAGAUAUCAGGAGGAACACCUGCGGUGUAGACGGCUUUCUGGACCAUUGCUGACGCUGAGACACGAAAGCGUGGGUAGCAAACAGG
rnacentral:rRNA from 1 species